AUUGAACGCUGGCGGCAGGCCUAACACAUGCAAGUCGAGCGGAGCGGCGGUCGCGUGCGUAAUACCUAGGAAUCUGCCUGGUAGUGGGGGCAAGCGUCCGGAGACGGACACUAAUACCACAACCUAUCUCAUGCGCCGAGGUCGGAUGAGCCAGUUGGGGGGGUAAAGGCCUACCAAGGCGACGAUCCGUAACUGGUCUGAGAGGAUGAUCAGCCACACUGGAACUGAGACACGGGCCAGACUCCUAGGGGAGGCAGCAGUGGGGAAUAUUGGGCAAUGGGCGAAAGCCUGAUCCAGCCAUGCCGCGUGUGUGAAGAAGGUCUUCGGAUUGUAAAGCACUUUAAGUUGGGAGGCGGUACCAACAGAAUAAGCACCGGCUAACUUCGUGCCAGCAGCCGCGGUAAUUC
rnacentral:rRNA from 1 species